rnacentral:rRNA from 1 species
GAUGAACGCUGGCGGCGUGCCUAAUACAUGCAAGUCGAGCGAACGGACGAGAAGCUUGCUUCUCUGAUGUUAGCGGCGGACGGGUGAGUAACACGUGGAUAACCUACCUAUAAGACUGGGAUAACUUCGGGAAACCGGAGCUAAUACCGGAUAAUAUUUUGAACCGCAUGGUUCAAAAGUGAAAGACGGUCUUGCUGUCACUUAUAGAUUAUCCGCGCUGCAUUAGCUAGUUGGUAAGGUAACGGCUUACCAAGGCAACGAUGCAUAGCCGACCUGAGAGGGUGAUCGGCCACACUGGAACUGAGACACGGUCCAGACUCCUACGGGAGGCAGCAGUAGGGAAUCUUCCGCAAUGGGCGAAAGCCUGACGGAGCAACGCCGCGUGAGUGAUGAAGGUCUUCGGAUCGUAAAACUCUGUUAUUAGGGAAGAACAUAUGUGUAAGUAACUGUGCACAUCUUGACGGUACCUAAUCAGAAAGCCACGGCUAACUACGUG